CCUACGUGAGGCAGCAGUGGGGGAUAUUGCACAAUGGGGGCAACCCUGAUGCAGCGACGCCGCGUGAGGGAAGACGGUCCUCUGGAUUGUAAACCACUGUCCCCAGGGACGAAGAUGACGGUACCUGGGGAGGAAGCGCAGGCCAAAUACGUGCGAGCAGCCGCGGUAAUAGGCAGGGAGGGAGCGUUGUCCGGAUGUAUUGGGGGCACAGGGGGCGUAGGCGGGGCUGAAAGUUGGGUGUAAAAACUACCGACUCAACUUGGAGUCGCACUCAAAACUGCAGCUCUUGAGUGAAGUAGAGGCAGGCGGAAUUCCGAGUGUAGCGGUGAAAUGCGUAGAUAUUAGGAGGAACACCAGUGGCGAAGGCGGCCUGCUGGGCUUUUACUGACGCUGAGGCUCGAAAGUGUGGGGAGCAAACAGGAUUAGAUACCCUAGUAGUC
rnacentral:rRNA from 1 species